AGAGUUUGAUCAUGGCUCAGAUUGAACGCUGGCGGCAGGCUUAACACAUGCAAGUCGAACGGUAACAGGAAGCAGCUUGCUGCUUCGCUGACUAGUGGCGGACGGGUGAGUAAUGUCUGGGAAACUGCCUGAUGGAGGGGGAUAACUACUGGAAACGGUAGCUAAUACCGCAUAAUCUCUAAGGAGCAAAGCAGGGGACCUUCGGGCCUCGCACCAUCAGAUGAACCCAUAUGGGAUUAGCUUGUAGGUGAGGUAACGGCUCACCUAGGCGACGAUCCCUAGCUGGUCUGAGAGGAUGAUCAGCCACACUGGGACUGAGACACGGCCCAGACUCCUACGGGAGGCAGCAGUGGGGAAUAUUGCACAAUGGGCGCAAGCCUGAUGCAGCCAUGCCGCGUGUAUGAAGAAGGCCUUAGGGUUGUAAAGUACUUUCAGUUGGGAGGAAGGCGUUGAUGCUAAUAUCAUCAGCGAUUGACGUUACCAACAGAAGAAGCACCGGCUAACUCCGUGCCAGCAGCCGCGGUAAUAC
rnacentral:rRNA from 1 species